CUGAGCGAACCUUUAGAACUCUGAGACAGACAAUAUUCUGUUACAUUGUAGCAAAAUGGCGACUGUCAUUCACAACCCCCUGAAAGCGCUUGGGGACCAGUUCUACAAGGAAGCCAUUGAGCACUGCCGAAGCUACAACUCACGGCUAUGCGCUGAGCGGAGCGUGCGUCUCCCUUUCCUGGACUCACAGACUGGAGUCGCCCAGAAUAACUGCUACAUCUGGAUGGAGAAGAGGCACCGAGGCCCGGGCCUUGCUCCAGGCCAGCUAUACACAUAUCCUGCUCGCUGCUGGCGCAAGAAGCGACGAUUGCACCCACCAGAGGACCCAAAGCUGCGACUUCUGGAAAUAAAACCUGAAGCAGAGCUGCCCCUGAAGAAAGAUGGCUUCACCUCCGAGAGUACCACACUGGAAGCCUUGCUCCGUGGUGAGGGAGUGGAGAAGAAGGUGGAUGCCAGAGAAGAGGAAAGCAUCCAGGAGAUACAGAGGGUUUUGGAAAAUGAUGAAAACGUAGACGAAGGGAACGAAGAGGAGGAUUUGGAAGAAGACACUCCCAAGCGCAAGAAUAGGACCAGAGGACGGGCUCGUGGCUCUGCGGGUGGCAGGAGGAGGCAUGAUGCUGCCUCUCAGGAAGACCACGACAAACCCUACGUCUGUGACAUCUGUGGCAAGCGCUACAAGAACCGGCCGGGACUCAGCUACCACUACGCUCACACCCACCUGGCCAGUGAGGAGGGAGACGAAAGCCAAGACCAGGAGACCCGGUCCCCGCCCAACCACAGAAAUGAGAACCACAGACCCCAGAAAGGACCAGACGGGACAGUCAUUCCCAAUAACUACUGUGAUUUCUGCUUGGGGGGCUCCAACAUGAACAAGAAGAGUGGAAGGCCUGAAGAGCUGGUGUCGUGUGCAGACUGUGGACGCUCUGCUCAUUUGGGAGGAGAAGGCAGGAAGGAGAAGGAGGCAGCGGCUGCAGCACGUACCACGGAGGACUUAUUCGGUUCCACGUCAGAAAGUGACACCUCAACUUUCUACGGCUUUGAUGAGGACGAUUUGGAAGAGCCUCGCUCCUGUCGAGGACGCCGCAGUGGCCGGGGUUCACCCACAGCAGAUAAAAAAGGCAGCUGCUGAUCACAUGGGACAGACUGUCUGGCCAAUUAGCCACCCCCUCUGACUCUGGUCAUUGUUCUAGUUCUGAUAUAUAUUUUUAAAUGAAAGACGACUUGGGCGUUUCCCUUUAUCCUUGCUUUUUUCCUUCUACCUUCCGUGUGUCCCUUCCCCUCCUCACAUCCUCCUAUUUUGAGUACAACUGAAGCACAAACUACUGAAAACAAAAACAACAAAAGAGCAGGAUGAGAGUCUCCUCUGGGGAGAGAUGGCAUCAUGGUGGGCUGUUUAUUUCCCCCAGAAAUAGGAAAUUAGGUGGAUUUUUCCUUCUGCUGGGGGGUGGGCAUCUUUUUGACACGAGCAGAGUUGAUUUCCUUAGUUCUCAAGAGAAGAAGAACAUGAAGUUGGGAAACAAAGAACAAAUAACAUUAACAAUUAUUAUUUAUAUAUAAUAGCUAUUAUUAGAUUCAGAUGCAAUGGGGGGGGGGAAGAGAGAGAGAGAGAGAGAGAGAGAGAGAGAGAGAGAGAGAGAGAGAGAGAGAGAGAGAGAGAAUGAGAAUGAGAAUCAAAGAAAGUAAUCUCUUGUUUAGAGGCAAGCCAGUGUGUGUGUGUGUGUGUGUGUGUGUGUGUGCGCGCGCAUAGGAUUUCCUCAAUGGCAGUUGGUGACUCCAGAGAGCAGACCCCUCUGCAUGUCUCCUCCAUGACCUUUCUGCUUGUGAGAAAUGGCAACCAUCCCAGAGAAGGCUGGGGCCACUUAACAACUGGCCUUCCUCCAGCGCUGGCCCUGACCAGCAGUGGCUGCCUCCCUCGGCUCCUCUCCUCUUUCCUUGUUGCUGGGUUUUCCUCACUUUCCUCCUGGCAAAGAUCAGCUUCUGAAAACACAGAAUGGAAUGUCAGCAGAUCACAGGCUCCGCUCACUCUGACAGAGCAACUGAGGCCGGGGCAUCCCUGGAAGGACAAGAGAUACUGUACAGUGUAUCUCCCCUCCCUUCGCCCUUGUGUGAAAACAUGUAGCCGCCCACUGGAUGAUGCCGUCUUCUGUAUUUCUUCUACUUUUUUUUUUUUAUAGUGCCUGCUAGGCACGUUGUUUUAUCUUUCCAAUAGCAUUUCCUGAAAUAAACCAAAGCAUCACUUGGUCCUGAGGCCUCAGGGAUAGAGAAGACUGUCCCAUUGGCAGUCCCUGAGAACAGAGCAGCUGGGAGGCCCUGCUUAAACAGUUCACUCUGUGACCCAGGAACUGCGCAUCCUUCAAGCAAGCCAUUCCUGAAGAAGGUGAAGAGAAUGCAGAUGACAAGCCUCCUCCUCCUCUCUUGCCCUGCCCUUCCUGAGUGUGAAUUUCAGCUAAUACUGGAGUCAGCAGGGAUUGGACAGAAAAGCCUCCAGUGUCUCUCACUCAGCUCGGCCAAGUUUCAGAAAUGGCUCAAGUUUGUGCAAUAAGAAGAUUUUAUCUUUUUUCGCCCCCUUUAAAAAUUCUUCAUUGCCUUUGCCUGGAAUGCCUGUGAGAAAGAGCCAGCCCGGACUGGAGAUUGUUCUGCAAAGAAACAACAACAUAAACUGACAAAGACAAAAAUAAAAGUGAACUAUUUUAUUUAUUUCAAUAUUUAAAAGAAAAAAGUGCUGAAAUUGCACAGUAUUUUUGUUUAAAGUACCUUCUACUUCAAAGGUGUAAAAAAAAAAGGCAAUUUUGUGAAGACCUGAAAUCAAAAGAGUGCUUACUGUAAAAUAAAGGUGUCAUAUUGACUCCAAGGAAAAGUACCCCACAUUUUAAAUAAGGAAAUAAAGAUCAACUCUGCUCUCUCAGGCUUUUAAGAAAGCCGUUCGUGUAUGUGCUUUAGGUAUGUUUUUAUUUCUGUGAGUUGGAUGUGGUAAGUGAGGGGUGGUCAGUUCUUCUUCCAAAGCCCACUGCAAAGUAUUGUUGACAUUAAUUACGUGUUAGGAUCUGACUGAAAUAAACUAGCCCCAAACCAGCAGUGUAACCCCUUCCCAGCUGCCCCUCCCCUCAGAUGUAACCCAUUGAUCUGAAAUUAAAGCUACAGCCUACCCAUCUCAUCUCAUGAGGCAUGCGUCCGGAAGGAACUCUACCCACCAACUGAAUG